GUUAAGCGACUAAGCGUACACGGUGGAUGCCCUGGCAGUCAGAGGCGAUGAAGGGCGUGCUAAUCUGCGAUAAGCGCCGGUAAGGUGAUAUGAACCGUUAUAACCGGCGAUACCCGAAUGGGGAAACCCAGUGUGAUUCGUCACACUAUCAUUAACUGAAUCCAUAGGUUAAUGAGGCGAACCGGGGGAACUGAAACAUCUAAGUACCCCGAGGAAAAGAAAUCAACCGAGAUUCCCCCAGUAGCGGCGAGCGAACGGGGAGGAGCCCAGAGCCUGAAUCAGCAUGUGUGUUAGUGGAAGCGUCUGGAAAGGCGCGCGAUACAGGGUGACAGCCCCGUACACAAAAGCGCAUGUGCUGUGAGCUCGAUGAGUAGGGCGGGACACGUGGUAUCCUGUCUGAAUAUGGGGGGACCAUCCUCCAAGGCUAAAUACUCCUGACUGACCGAUAGUGAACCAGUACCGUGAGGGAAAGGCGAAAAGAACCCCGGCGAGGGGAGUGAAAAAGAACCUGAAACCGUGUACGUACAAGCAGUGGGAGCA
rnacentral:rRNA from 2 species